UGACGAGAAGACCCCGUCAAACUUUAAUUAUCAUAUAUAAAAGUGAAAAUACAAAAUAUAAAUUAAUUUUAGUUGGGGCAACUGGGAGGGAUAAAAAUCUUUUAUUAAAUCAUUUAUAAUAAUAUUUAUAUUUAUGAUCCAAAUUAGUUAAUUUUGAACUUAGAAU
rnacentral:rRNA from 1 species